rnacentral:tRNA from 1 species
GUCGGAGUGGCGGAAUUGGCAUACGCGCUAGCCUUAGGAGCUAGUGGGAUUUAUCCCUUGGGAGUUCGAGUCUCCCCUCCGACA